rnacentral:pre_miRNA from 1 species
UACUUACGAUUAGUUUUGCAGGUUUGCAUUUCAGCGUAUAUAUGUAUAUAUGGCUGUGCAAAUCCAUGCAAAACUGAUUGUGAUAAUG